rnacentral:rRNA from 1 species
UACAGGGGGUGCAAACGUUGCUCGGAAUUAUUGGGCGUAAAGAGCUCGUAGGCGGUCUGUCACGUCUGCUGUGAAAACUCGGGGCUUAACCCCGGGCCUGCAGUGGGUACGGGCAGACUAGAGUGCGGUAGGGGAGACUGGAAUUCCUGGUGUAGCGGUGAAAUGCGCAGAUAUCAGGAGGAACACCGGUGGCGAAGGCGGGUCUCUGGGCCGUAACUGACGCUGAGGAGCGAAAGCGUGGGGAGCGAACAGG